CAUGUCGGCAAAAAAAUUAACCAAUUAGAUGCCUCUAUUUUGCCACGUUACAUUCUCUUUAUCGACAUGGGCCAAAUGUUUUGGCCUUCUAAAAUUUGGUUGUGGCCCAUUUGAGAAUCAUGUUACACUUUCCGACAAAACCCACGCUUUCCUUUUUCUGUCAAUAGUCUCUUACGAUUCCUCUCCGUAACCAUUGUUCCAUUCUCUCCAAAUCUCCGUUACGUUGCAGUAACUAUCCACUCUAAAAUCAUUGAUUCUGCUUUUUACACCUUCUUACAAGAUGUAUCCUUUCACCUCCUUUUGUUUUCCUCCUGUAUGAUCUAUUUCUCGAUUCUUAUUAUAUACCGUAAUCUACGAUUUCUUCAGUCGGAGAUCAAGCUAUGUCCAUGAGAUCUGCUAAGUCCUUCGGAAAGUCUUAUGUCGCUGUGUAUUUCACCAACAUCUCCGCGGGUACAGUGGAAUCAGAACUAGGCUUCCGGUUAAUCCGUUUCUGGGAGACGAUAAGCACAACUAAAGGUGGUUUGCUUAUUGGCUUGGAGCUUCUCCUUACAGGCAAGCAGAAAUGGCUACGCACAACUCGAAAUAUACCGCAUCACUAUUUUUCUCCCAUUCUUAGUGGUUUCGCAGCUGCGGUUUGGACAUAGCUGCAACAGUUAUCUUCCUUUUUUUAAAAAAAAAAACAGCUGUGAUCAAGUCAAUUUUUCCAGGCAUCCAGAUGAUUAUUAACAAAAAAAAUUGUUUGAGCUGGAAUCUGAAGUUCGUGUCCUGGAAAGCCUAUGGCAGCUGAAACUGGGGUAAGAUUCUGUAUUCUUUUAUCUUUAACUUGGAUGGGAGGUAUUAUUUUGUUGUUCAAAGAGUUGAAUCCAAACAGCCUUUAGGAGAAGAAGCAAAAAUUUACCUGAGAAAAGUUAUACAAGAGCUUUCUGUGUAGGUUUUUUUCUUAAAUACGUAGGUGAAACUCUGAACACCCUGCUCCUGCAAAAAGCCGCAUUUGAAUCUAUUGAGAAUUCACUUACAAACUCAAACGAACAGCAAUGCUCUCUAUUCAGAGAUCAUGUUGAGAGAUCCCAGAGCUUUUUACACAGAUUUCUAUCAUGGCCGCUGGAACUGGAAGCACUGCUCUUUUCACUGUGAUUUGUAGCUUUUCUUCAAGGCGUGUACCCUUUUGCGCAAACAAGUUCUUCAAGACUGUACUUGGUUUCAGUUUGGCCAUACUGCUUUGGGCUGUGGAUAGACUCGGGAGGUGAUUACUUAGCGCAUACUUCUUCCAUGGGAAGACAUUCUGAUGUUUGAUUGUGUUCUUGCGAAGCUCCUGCUGGUUGUGGCUUCUAAGUUGGCAACAAGAACAAGAGUAAUCUCUGAGGAAGCAAAAGCCACGACCAAGUACUUUAUAUUCUUAUAGGAAACAUCUUUGCUCCUAUGUAAACUAAAUAUGUUUCUCCAAUGAUGAAGAAUAUAUAAAUUGGUUUUUGUUUGUGUGAUCAGGAACAAACAAAAUUUUUGAAUAUAAAGCAUGUUACGGAA